rnacentral:tRNA from 1 species
GGAGAGAUGGGUGAGCGGCUUAAACCAGCAGUUUGCUAAAUUGCCGAAGGAAGUAAUUCCUUCCGUGGGUUCGAAUCCCACUCUCUCCGCCA